rnacentral:rRNA from 1 species
AGCGGAUGAGUUGUGGGUAGCGGAGAAAUUCCAAUCGAACCUGGAGAUAGCUGGUUCUCUCCGAAAUAGCUUUAGGGCUAGCCUCAAGUGAUGAUUAUUGGAGGUAGAGCACUGUUUGGAUGAGGGGCCCUUCUCGGGUUACCGAAUUCAGACAAACUCCGAAUGCCAAUCAAUUUAACUUGGGAGUCAGAACGCGGGUGAUAAGGUCCGUGUUCGAAAGGGAAACAGCCCAGACCACCAG